rnacentral:rRNA from 1 species
GUCGAACGCACCCGACCUUCGGGUCACAUGAGUGAGUGGCGAACGGGUGAGUAACACGUGAGGAAGCUGCCCCGAAGACUGGAAUAACCCGAGGAAACUCGGGCUAAUACCGGAUAUCCCCACCAGGUCGCAUGGCCAGGUGAGGAAAUGCUCCGGCGCUUCGGGAGGGUCUCGCGGCCUAUCAGCUAGUUGGUGAGGUAACGGCUCACCAAGGCAUCGACGGGUAGCUGGUCUGAGAGGACGAUCAGCCACACUGGGACUGAGACACGGCCCAGACUCCUACGGGAGGCAGCAGUGGGGAAUCUUGCGCAAUGGGCGAAAGCCUGACGCAGCCACGCCGCGUGAGGGAUGAAGGCUUUCGGGUUGUAAACCUCUUUCAGCAGGGACGAAAAUGACGGUACCUGCAGAAGAAGCUCCGGCCAACUACGUGCCAGCAGCCGCGGUAACACGUAGGGAGCAAGCGUUGUCCGGAUUUAUUGGGCGUAAAGAGCUCGUAGGCGGUUCAGUCAGUCGGGUGUGAAAACUUGAGGCUCAACCUCAAGAGGCCACUCGAUACUGCUGUGACUAGAGUCCGGUAGAGGAGUGUGGAAUUCCUGGUGUAGCGGUGAAAUGCGCAGAUAUCAGGAGGAACACCGACAGCGAAGGCAGCACUCUGGGCCGGUACUGACGCUGAGGAGCGAAAGCAUGGGGAGCAAACAGGAUUAGAUACCCUGGUAGUCCAUGCCGUAAACGUUGGGCACUAGGUG